rnacentral:rRNA from 1 species
UACUAGAGUAGCACUCGCAUAUCAAUAAGCGGAGGAAAAGAAACUAACAAGGAUUCCCCUAGUAACGGCGAGUGAAGCGGGAAGAGCUCAAAUUUGAAAUCUUAAAGGGUUUCCCUUUACGAAUUGUAGUUUAAAGAAGUGUUUUCUGUUGAGGUUUUGGUAAAAGUUCUUUGGAAUAGGACAUCAUAGAGGGUGAGAAUCCCGUAUUUGACCUUUACUUUCAACUUUGUGAUACACUUUCAAAGAGUCGGAUUGUUUGGGAAUGCAGUCCAAAAUGGGUGGUAAAUUUCAUCUAAAGCUAAAUAUUGGCGAGAGACCGAUAGCGAACAAGUACCGUGAGGGAAAGAUGAAAAGAACUUUGAAAAGAGAGUUAAACAGUACGUGAAAUUGUCAAAAGGGAAGCGUUUGACACCAGUGUUGUUUUUCUGAAAAUCAAUUAAAGAACUGUUUAUGCUAAGUUGUUUAGACUUUAUCAGCUAACUGUUUAGUUUUGAGCUUUUCUUUAAUGCACUUUUCAGUUAACAAGUCAACAUCAAUUUCUUUUGCUGUAAAAAAGCUUGAGGAAGGUGGCUUGAGAUUCGUCUUAAGUGUUUAUAGCCUCUUGCCUAUGCAGUCGGAGAGAUUGAGGUCUGCAGCGUAGAUCCUUCGGGGCUAAAUGCAUUUGUGCUAAGUUAUAGCAUUUCAUAGACAACUUGUUGACUAUGAUUUGUCUUGUAGCUUACUCGCUUAUGUUAUUUUACCUACGCUUAGGAUGUUGAGUCAUCACACAUCUCU